UCUGGUCAGACCCUUUGCUCUUGCUCCUUCCAAAUUCUGGAAUCAGAACUUAGAGUGACCAUGAAAAUACCUCAUUAGUAAUUGCAGGACCUUCUCACUCCCCAGUGUGAGCACUGGGGCCCAACCUCUACAUCAGGUAAUAAGCACAGUUUACUUCAACUCUACCCCACUCAGGAAAAGGCAAGUAGAAAUAACAGCUAUUACACCAGUCAGACCUGAGCCUCACCUGUUCCACAAAUGCAGUUUUCAGCAUGGCUGGGAUGUGGGUUCAGUUACCUCAUAGCCAGAGUCCAAGAGCUUUUGAAUGAGGGCCCGGGCCUGCCCGAUGCUCCAGCCCUUCACCUGGGCCAGGGUGGGCAGGGCAGCCACCAGGUCCUGGCCACUGAUUUUCCCCUCAAUCUGUGACACUGACAGCCCCACAGCUGUUUGACCCAGUCUGCGCAGGAUGACCUCUGAAAAGUUCCCAAAGCUACUCAGCAGCCCAGAUGCCAUCUGUAAGAGAGUCAAGUCUUAACUAAGGCACAGGACUGAGGCCUUGAAUCUUGAUAUCCCCAACAGACACACCUGGGGCAGGUAAAUAUCUGAAAAUCACCAAAUAAAUAAGUCAUGUAUGCAGAGCUGUCUCAAUUAAUUAAGAAAAUAGUGGAAUAAUCCAAAACCACUGGGCUCCUUUCUGAAUACAGGCCUGAAGAUGAUAAUACCAUCAGCACGACCAUAGCCAACAAUAAUUGACAUUUAUCUAGA